UGAGGAAUAUUGGUCAAUGGACGGAAGUCUGAACCAGCCAAGUCGCGUAAAGGAAGACGGUUCUAUGGAUUGUAAACUUCUUUUGCCUGAGGGUAAAACGCGGUACGUGUACCGCCUUGUAAGUAUCAGGUGAAUAAGCAUCGGCUAACUCCGUGCCAGCAGCCGCGGUAAUACGGAGGAUGCGAGCGUUAUCCGGAUUUAUUGGGUUUAAAGGGUGCGUAGGCGGGAUGUUAAGUCAGCGGUGAAAGUUUGCGGCUCAACCGUAAAAUUGCCGUUGAAACUGGCGUUCUUGGGUGCGUGCGAGGGAGGCGGAAUGCGUUGUGUAGCGGUGAAAUGCAUAGAUAUGACGCAGAACUCCGAUUGCGAAGGCAGCUUUCCGGCACGCCACUGACGCUGAGGCACGAAAGCGUGGGGAUCGAACAGGAUUAGAUACCCUGGUAGU
rnacentral:rRNA from 1 species